rnacentral:lncRNA from 1 species
AUACUGUACAAAACGUCUCAAGAAAACGCUGAAGUCAGUCCGCACCGCCGUGCGCCCGUGCGCCCGGAGGUCCCCAGGAGCUCCCGGGAGGGAGAGGCGGGGGCGGGGGCGGGGGCGUGCGCGUGCCGCCCGCGCCCCGCUCCGCGCAGGAGCGCCGAGGGGUCCGUGCCGGGGCCGGGCCGCGGUGUCCCCGCGUCCCUAGAUGUGCGUCAGGGGCACCGUGCCGUUGACGCCCGCGCCCGCGCCCUGGUAGUGCUGCGGCAGCGAGUGCAGCCGGCUCUGCGCCGCCGCGGCCGCCGCGGCCGCCGGGUCUCCGGUCUCCCCGCCGGGCAAGUACAUGCUGAUCAUCUCGCGCAGGUCCCCGGGGCACGGCGCCCGCGAGUGCGCGGGGGCAGGGGGGCUGCCGCUCGGCUCGGACUUGACGAGCGAGCCCAGCGCGCCCAGGGCGCCCGACGACGCGGCCGCCGCGGCCGCCGCGGCCGCCACUGCCGAGUUCUGGUGCGCGCCGCCCGCGGCGGCGGCGGCGGCGGCCGCGGCGCCGUAGGGGAGGCCGCCGUAGCCCGAGGGCGAGGCGCUCAUGUAGCCCUGCGAGUUGGAGAUGGGGCUGUACUGCAGCGCGCCCAUGUCGUAGCGGUGCAUGGGCUGCGGGUUGUGCGGGUGCGCGUGCGGGUGGUGCGGGUGCGGGUGCGCCGGGUGCGCGUGCGGGUGCGGGUGCGGGUGCGCGCCGCCCGCGCCCGGGUGCUGCCCGUAGGCCAGCUGCGCCUCCUGCAUCAUGGCCGCGGCCGCCGCCGCCGCCGCCACCGAGCCGGGGUAGGCGCCGUUGGCCCAGCCGUUGACGUGCGCGUAGCCGCCGCCCGCCGCGCCGCCCGGGCUCUCCAGGCGCUGGCCCACGGCCGCCGCGCCCACGCCCACGCCCACGCCCACGCCCAUGGCCACGGCCGCGCCGCCGCCGCCCGCGCCCGCCGCCAGCAGCCCGCCGGCCAGCGAGUACUUGUCCUUCUUGAGCAGCGUCUUGGUCUUGCGGCGCGGCCGGUACUUGUAAUCCGGGUGCUCCUUCAUGUGCAGCGCGCGCAGCCGCUUGGCCUCGUCGAUGAACGGCCGCUUCUCGGCCUCGGACAUGACCUUCCACUCGGCGCCCAGGCGCUUGCUGAUCUCCGAGUUGUGCAUCUUGGGGUUCUCCUGGGCCAUCUUGCGCCGCUGCCCGCGCGACCACACCAUGAAGGCGUUCAUGGGCCGCUUGACCCGGUCCUGGCUGGCCUUGGCGACCCCGCCGCCGCCGCCGCCGCCGCCGCCCCCGCCGCCCCCGCCGCCGCCGGCCCCGGCCGGGCCCGACAGGUUCGUGGGGGCCUGGGCGCCGCCAGGCGAGUGCAGGGGAAAAAAUAGUCCUGGAAGAGGGGAAAGAGGAAGGAGGAGAGCCCUCGCCAUGUGGAACCCGCAGCGGCCCCUGUGCCAUUUAAGGGGUAGCCACAAGAGCAGGGGACCUUUGCCGUUGCUCUGAGUCCGUCAUCCUGUCCUUCCCCCGCGAGCGUCUGGAUUUGGAGGGCUGAGCCUGAGCGCCUGCAGGAGAGGCGACAUAAAGCCCUUCCCCUGGAAAGCAGGCACGGUUUUCUUUGCAGCCAUCAGUGUGGAGAUCCGUAAAUUCACACUGAAGAGCAAACAACCCUGUGUGUGUGCGUGCGUGUGUGUUGUUCUGUGCCUCCUAGCUCUCUGGGUGAAAGCAUUUGGAGAAUCUCUGGGAGCUUUCGAGUAGGGGCUCACCCUGUGAGCAGUACUCACACAUAUAAUUCAAAUUUCACAGCUGACCUGCUCUGAAAACCUCAAUCAGCUUCUAAUUGAAGGGAAAACAAAAUAUUGCUUCCCUACAGCAGAGCUAACGAUUUAAUCAUUAUAUCAGACAUUAUAGCUUUUAAUUAGGCUAAUGCUGAUACUGUAUGGAAAGAGAUAAUUCAACACAGUUCUUGAUGAAUUCUGUAAUUGGGUUAACGGCAGAGCAGUUGGGGGAGAGACGUCAAUAUUCAAGCUGCGUC